CAAUAGCGUAUAUUUAAGUUGCUGCAGUUAAAAAGCUCGUAGUUGGAUUUCGGGUGGGAAUGGCCGGUCCGCCGUUUCGGUGUGCACUUGCUACGCCCACCUUGCUGCCGGGGACGUGCUCUUGAGUUCACGCUCGGGACACGGAGUCGGCGAGGUUACUUUGAGUAAAUUAGAGUGUUCAAAGCAGGCCUACGCUCUGAAUACAUUAGCAUGGAAUAACACGAUAGGACUCUGGCCUAUCUUGUUGGUCUGUAGGACCGGAGUAAUGAUUAAGAGGGACAGUCGGGGGCAUUCGUAUUUCAUUGUCAGAGGUGAAAUUCUUGGAUUUAUGAAAGACGAACUACUGCGAAAGCAUUUGCCAAGGAUGUUUUGAUUAA
rnacentral:rRNA from 1 species